rnacentral:lncRNA from 1 species
UAACUUCUUGCUUGUCCUCAAGCAUAAGAUAAUCUAGUCAAUCAAAACCCCUUUUCUACUUGAUCCUUGUAUCCACUUAGUUUACCACCCUAGAAUUCUAAACUGAAGCAUUACAGUGUUGUAUAUAUACACAAAGGUUAUCCCUCCUUUCCUUGUUUCCUUCUACCGACAGUAGUUGAGAGUUGCCUUCCUCAAGAAAGAGAGUCUAUAUUUCCAUUCAUACACAAAUUUUCUUUAGUUUGACUAUGCAGCUUUUGGAACAAUCUGCCCUUGCUAUUCUAGCACAUUUUUAGCUUUAAGCACUUUAUUCUUACUUGAAAAAGUCAUCAAUCUUUUUACGCGAAGGUGUAUAUUUGUAAUACCCACCCCUGAUUAUUCAGUUGGUCACUUAUUCAAGUGGCUACUAGCUCUACUCAUAGUUUUUUACUAUUGGAGCAGGUUUUGAUUUGUGCUGUGCACUUUGAAUUUGCUGCUUUUAUACUUUCUUCUCUUCUUUUUUUUAUGAUGAUUUUACUGUCAUGGUUUGGGCAAAUCAGGGUACCAAUCACUGCAUAAGUCAUUUCUAUCACACACAGUUUUGGAUUUGUUAAUUUCUCUACUAAGUAAUGACAUAUAUCUAAACCAUAGUGAGUAGAAAGAUUCAAUUUAAAAAGAAACUCCCAGAAUGAAUGCAACUCACUGCGAGUCAAUAGAGGUUUAAAGAGUGGGAAAAUCAAUGGGGUCAUGAGAAAGAGGCUCUUAUAAUUUGACUGUCAUGCUGGGUAAAACAAAAUUUGUGAAAUCUUAUGCAUGUGUGAAUGUGUGAAAAGACAAAAAGAAACAUGUAAAAAGUAAUAUAUUUAAAAAUGUAUAUACAAUGAAAAAUAAAAUAUUGAAAUCAGCAAUACUAUACCCCCACACCUAUCCUAAUCAUUGUCCUCAAUGAAAACUAAAAUAUUGAAAUAAGGAGGGUGACUUCCCUAGCGUGUGGAGUUGGUCAAAUCCAUUGGCCAAAUCAGGGUGCUGGUGAACUCCAGGUAGAAAGUGAUCAACCAACAACUGCCAGAUGUCCUCCAUAUGUAGAAUUCAAGCUUCAAUUCUAUCCAAUGGGGCAUCUGUGGAGGGACACAGAGGUGCACCAGCUGGUGUUUUUGCUGAGUCUGCUGCAGGUGGAGCUGUGGCUUGGGAUCCUUUUGCUUGCGUUGCUGCAUUCUUUCAAAACACACACUCAUGGUGUGGUACCACUAGCCCUACAGGUGUAAGAGAGAAAAUACCACUAACCUUGCGAAGCAACCCAUGUCAUCUAAGACACGCAAAUCUAAUGGGGUUGGUUUGUUGGCUUGGCGAAGGUCAGUAUACUCAGGAUAGAAAAUAUUCAGAUUAACAACAAGCAGAGUAAUAACAUGGCCAAGAAUGAGUGGACGGUGAUAAGACAGAAUUUCAGAGAUUUGUGUGACAAAAUAGAAAUUGAAAUUAAGUUUUCUCUUAAACACCAUGCU